rnacentral:lncRNA from 1 species
CUGGCGCUUAAACUUUGUUUUCACUAAGAUCCACAAAGAUACAAUUGUGUUGUAAUCUUAUCUUUAUAAUCCUCUCUUUCUAAAACGUACUAUGCAUAUUGUAAGUUGUAACCAAUAAAUCAAGUGGUUGUAGUUCAUCGUUGUGUUAAAAUGGUAAAGGAUUUGUCCCAUGGAUCAAAUCCUCCCACCAACUGUGGACCUCCUUGUUGGCUUUCUAUAUAGUCUAUGUAAACGCUUUAAAGGAAAAUUAUUCAGUUUUCUACAUGCUCGGUUAUUAAAACAUAAAAAAUAACAGCUACAAUGUUUAAUUGAGAGCUAGUUCCUACUUGUAUUAACUUAAUUGUAGCCAGUUUGCAAUACAACUUAACAUCCAUGUUUGAAUUACGUCGAACUCACGUCUUGUCUUUUGUUUCUCCAUUAGAUACAAUACAAUCAUACAACUCUAGGGUAGGCCAAGCCGAAAGGCACAUGGCCCACUUCCAAAUUUACAAUAGUAAGGCGGGUCCAUUUUAAAAUAUACAAAUAUGUAUUACUUCAACAAAUAGACCUAAAAAUGUUUUACAAGUAUAUUAUCAAGACUUCAAUUUUGUAACUAGAAUUUGAGAUCAAAUUAAGCAACAACGUAUAUGACCUAGUCGUAUAUUUGAAUGGUAGAUGGCGCCUAGCUAUGUUGGUCAAGGCGAGAAAAUGAGUUCCACCAAUACACUAAAAAUAAACUGAUACUCCUAAACAAACUUAGGUUUCGGAAUCUAACACAAUGCCUUAAAUAGUACUCCAAAUCGAACAAAGUUUGGCCCCAUAAUAUACUACAGCGAUCAAAGAAAAAAAAAGGAUUAGAUACGUGAUUUUUGGCUAUGCAGAAGAGAUAUAUACGUGAGGGUCGGAAGAUUUUAGACGAAUUGCAAAGGAGUCUUCAGAAUGAUCUUCGAACUUCAAAUUGCUUCUUGGAUGCUGACUUGACCGGUUUAUGUAAACUAUUUAUUGGGAAAAGAUCCAAUAUCAGUAAACCGAACGUAAACCAGUUUAUAUGAUUCAAGUUUGUGAAAACUCUAGAGGAGAGUGAAUAAUGCCAAAACAUCCUCUUAGUAUAUAGUUUUAGAUAGACUAUACAAUACCAACUCUAACAAAUAUUUAUUCAUAUCCUUUAAUUUGAUCACUAAGAUACUUAUUUUUUAUUUUUAGACUAAGAUAUUAUUAUUUGGAGAACUAUUUAAAUCAACAAUGUUCUGUUUUCAGUGAUAAGACUCCAAGUUCAACGGUGUCUAAAUCUCUUUUAAUAACAAUUUGAUUAAAAGUUUAUAACAAACAAAAAAAGAGAUGUAAAAAGUCAACAUUAUCGUUGGGUCUUUGCUUGAUGCAAGGCGUAGGUCAUGCGGCCUUGUGGACAAUAAUGCUUCAAAAUGUCCACUUAUUACAAUUUUCAUUCUCUCGUAAAUCCCUUUUAAUAUUUUAUACUUCCAGCAAAAGAGACGAUCCGAUGCCACCACGAAUGCGACAAAAAGUGCAGCCGAGGUAAAGUUACUAAAGUAUAUUGUAUAACUCUCUACCGGACCGGUUCGUGAUACCUCUUUCAUCACUAACCGGUUGGUUAAGGUUGUAGGAUGCGUUCUAAUCUACCAUGUAACUUAUCAGUAUUUUCUAUCCAUGAAGCUAAUUAAUACCGUGUUUGUCUACUAUGAUCAUGACGAAACAUUGGAAUUCGUUACAUACAGAUACUUAUUUUAUUUGAGGCCCUGUUCGUUUGGCAGUUGCUAGCGUCAGCGACCAGCGUCCGCGUCUAAAAAUUAGUUGGACUCGGACCUGACAUUGAUGUACUUUUGUAAUUACAGGUGGUAAAGGAGGAAGUGAGACUGGCGCUUAAACUUUGUUUUCACUAAGAUCCACAAAGAUACAAUUGUGUUGUAAUCUUAUCUUUAUAAUCCUCUCUUUCUAAAACGUACUAUGCAUAUUGUAAGUUGUAACCAAUAAAUCAAGUGGUUGUAGUUCAUCGUUGUGUUAAAAUGGUAAAGGAUUUGUCCCAUGGAUCAAAUCCUCCCACCAACUGUGGACCUCCUUGUUGGCUUUCUAUAUAGUCUAUGUAAACGCUUUAAAGGAAAAUUAUUCAGUUUUCUACAUGCUCGGUUAUUAAAACAUAAAAAAUAACAGCUACAAUGUUUAAUUGAGAGCUAGUUCCUACUUGUAUUAACUUAAUUGUAGCCAGUUUGCAAUACAACUUAACAUCCAUGUUUGAAUUACGUCGAACUCACGUCUUGUCUUUUGUUUCUCCAUUAGAUACAAUACAAUCAUACAACUCUAGGGUAGGCCAAGCCGAAAGGCACAUGGCCCACUUCCAAAUUUACAAUAGUAAGGCGGGUCCAUUUUAAAAUAUACAAAUAUGUAUUACUUCAACAAAUAGACCUAAAAAUGUUUUACAAGUAUAUUAUCAAGACUUCAAUUUUGUAACUAGAAUUUGAGAUCAAAUUAAGCAACAACGUAUAUGACCUAGUCGUAUAUUUGAAUGGUAGAUGGCGCCUACCUAUGUUGGUCAAGGCGAGAAAAUGAGUUCCACCAAUACACUAAAAAUAAACUGAUACUCCUAAACAAACUUAGGUUUCGGAAUCUAACACAAUGCCUUAAAUAGUACUCCAAAUCGAACAAAGUUUGGCCCCAUAAUAUACUACAGCGAUCAAAGAAAAAAAAAGGAUUAGAUACGUGAUUUUUGGCUAUGCAGAAGAGAUAUAUACGUGAGGGUCGGAAGAUUUUAGACGAAUUGCAAAGGAGUCUUCAGAAUGAUCUUCGAACUUCAAAUUGCUUCUUGGAUGCUGACUUGACCGGUUUAUGUAAACUAUUUAUUGGGAAAAGAUCCAAUAUCAGUAAACCGAACGUAAACCAGUUUAUAUGAUUCAAGUUUGUGAAAACUCUAGAGGAGAGUGAAUAAUGCCAAAACAUCCUCUUAGUAUAUAGUUUUAGAUAGACUAUACAAUACCAACUCUAACAAAUAUUUAUUCAUAUCCUUUAAUUUGAUCACUAAGAUACUUAUUUUUUAUUUUUAGACUAAGAUAUUAUUAUUUGGAGAACUAUUUAAAUCAACAAUGUUCUGUUUUCAGUGAUAAGACUCCAAGUUCAACGGUGUCUAAAUCUCUUUUAAUAACAAUUUGAUUAAAAGUUUAUAACAAACAAAAAAAGAGAUGUAAAAAGUCAACAUUAUCGUUGGGUCUUUGCUUGAUGCAAGGCGUAGGUCAUGCGGCCUUGUGGACAAUAAUGCUUCAAAAUGUCCACUUAUUACAAUUUUCAUUCUCUUUCUCUCUCUCUCUUAAAGAAAUGCAAAUAUUUUAAAAAAUUAUCAUUAUAAAUUCGAUAAUAAAAUCCAGAGAAGAAGCAUUUGAGAGUAUAAUCCAAUUAAAAAGUUAAAAACUUUUUUAUUCUUUAAUUAUUUUCUUGCUGUCUCGUGAAUGAACUAUUAAAGAAAAAUCAAGAAAAGCUCCUGAGUACUGGAAAAGAAGAAGAAGACUUUAUCUUUCUGUGUGUGUGGUUCUUUGACUUUUAUGGGUUCUUUUGUUUUAGUUUUAGGCUCCUACGGAUCUGCUUAAAUCCUUGUGAUCUUGUUUCUUGUUUAGACACCAGAUUCUGUUCUACUUUUGCUAAGUUUCUUGAUUUGGUCGGAGAAGUUUUUAAGUAGGUUUGGUGGUUCAAGAUUUAAGCUUCUGGGUUAUCAUCACCUCCUUGUCUGAAAGGUUCAUACUUAACCCUUUCUCUUUCUGUCUUUUUAUGUUUUCAUAUGCACCUAACCUUAAAUCACAGGUUCUUGUAACAGUUUCAUCUGAAAACUAACUAAAAUCUUGACUUUAUAGGAAGUAAGUAAAUCAGAUGAGUUUUUGUUGCAGUUUCCAGAUUUAAUUUAUGUAUGUUACAUAUGAAUCGGUUUUAUGUGAUCUGGAUAUAGCAUUUGGUGAAUUGAUGUCAGAUUCUCUUUGAUUAACUAUUAUGUGUCAUAAAGAAAAAAUGUUCAUGGUUUGAUUAAAAGCUGGCUCUAUGUGGCCUAGUUUCUUUAUUGGGCAUGCGAUAGUUAUAUCUUUUUCUUUCCCAAAGCUGUAGCCAGUCUUCUUUCUCUUUUGGCUCUUUUACUUUUUUUUUUUUAAAUUUAUUUCUUACUUAUUAAGGAGAGGUGACUCAGAUUUGCCAGGAUUUGUUUUCUUAUGUAACAGCCACUGGAUUCUCUCAUCUCAAUCUGAACAGUUCUGGUUUGUAAAGAAAGAGAAAUGUCGUUUAGGAGCAUUGUUCAAGAUUUGAGAGAUGGGCUUGGGAGCUUGUCCAGGAGGAGUUUCGAUUUCAGGCUUCACCACAAAGGGAAGUCUCAUGGCUCUUCCUUCCGUGAGUACUCGUCUUCCCUUGACCUCUCGCCUUUGAUAGUUCAGACAAGCAGAUGGGCUAAUCUUCCUCCGGAGCUGCUCUUGGACGUGAUCAAAAGACUAGAGGAGAGUGAGAGUAACUGGCCUGCAAGGAAACAUGUCGUGGCUUGUGCUUCUGUGUGUCGGUCUUGGAGAGCUAUGUGCCAAGAGAUCGUCCUGUGUCCAGAAAUCUCUGGGAAGCUCACUUUUCCAGUCUCCCUCAAACAGGUUCGCUCAAUUUUUUUGUGUCUUGUGAACAUGAUUUUGUUAAAUUCAAACAACUAAUGAAAAAAGUUUAUGUCUACUACUGUUGUUGAUUCUUUGCAGCCAGGACCUCGUGAUGCGAUGAUUCAGUGUUUCAUCAAACGAGAUAAAUCAAAGCUAACCUUUCAUCUUUUUCUUUGUUUAAGUCCUGGUAAGCUUUGAUUGUUAGGACAUAGAUAUGCUUGUGUUUCGGAUUCACUUAGUUAAACUAUGAUUUUUUUUUUUUUGUUUCAGCUCUAAUUGUGGAGAAUGGGAAGUUUCUUCUUUCAGCUAAACGGACUCGUAGAACUACUCGGACCGAGUACAUUAUCUCCAUGGAUGCUGAAAACAUCUCAAGAUCUAGUAACUCUUACCUCGGAAAGCUCAGGUUCUGUCUGAAUCUUUGCUCUCUUAAGUGUGAUUUUGUUUUUUUUUUUUUAAUACUAGCUUAGUGUGAUUCACAUUCAUAUGUUUCUUUCUUUCUUUCCAGAUCAAACUUUCUUGGGACGAAGUUCUUGGUGUAUGAUACACAACCACCACCAGACACAUCAUCUUCUUCUUCAAGUGCACUUAUCACUGACCGAACAAGCAGAAGCAGGUUUCACUCGAGGAGAGUUUCCCCCAAAGUCCCAUCCGGAAGCUACAACAUUGCUCAAAUCACAUACGAGCUCAACGUGCUGGGCACACGCGGGCCACGGAGAAUGCACUGCAUCAUGAACUCCAUCCCAACUUCAUCUCUCGAACCGGGAGGCUCGGUUCCUAACCAACCUGAGAAGCUCCUCCCACCACCACCACGCUCCUUUGACGACUCGUUCCGCAGCAACAUCUCGUUCUCCAAGUCAUCAUUCGACCACCGCUCCGUAGAUUUCAGCAGCUCUAGAUUCUCGGAAAUGGGAGUGCCCUGCGAGGAAGACCAAGGAGAGACGAGUUUCAAACCGUUGGUUUUGAAGAACAAGCAGCCUAGGUGGCACGAGCAGUUGCAAUGCUGGUGUCUGAACUUCCGUGGACGUGUGACGGUUGCGUCCGUUAAGAACUUCCAGCUCGUGGCCGUGAGACAGCCGCCGCCAACGCAAGUGGCAGGCAGCUCAGCACCAGCGGCUCCUCCAGAGCAAGAUAAAGUGAUACUCCAGUUUGGUAAAGUGGGGAAGGAUAUGUUCACAAUGGAUUAUAGGUAUCCAUUGUCGGCGUUUCAAGCGUUUUCUAUUUGCUUAAGCAGCUUUGACACGAAGCUCGCUUGUGAAUAAAGAAGAAACAACACUCGUCAUCUCCUUUCUCCUAAACAUUCAUGCUAAUCCUUAUGUCUCUCUUUAUCUUAUUCCUUUUGGGUUUCUUUUGGCGAACUCAUUUUGUCUUAAUACUCAGUUGUUACUGUGGUGAGAACCAGACGUCUACUAUUAACCUCUUCUCUAUUCUAAAUCAUUUGAAAACAUUUAAUGUGCAAUCUUAACCAAGCUUACACACUAUUUACUUUGAAGGUAUGUGAUAAUAUGAAGGGCAAUUGUCAAUAAUAGCACAUUUUGAAGUUUAUGUCUCAAAAAUGGCACUAGAAGGAGAAAAUCACAAAAAUAACAUUCAUUAAAGGAUAAAAUAUCCCUAAUACCCUUGGUUUAAAAUUAAAUAAACAAACAAAAAUAAAUAAAAAUAAAUAAAAUAAAAAUAAAAAAAAUAAAAAAAAAGAAUUUUUUUUAUAGUUUCAGAUUAUAUGUUUUUAGAUUCGAAAUUUUUAUAAUUUUUUUUUUGAAAUUUUUUUUCAAAUUUUUUUUUUUAUUUUUUUUCAAAUUUUCUUUUUAUAAUUUAAAAAUACAUUUUGAAACUGUUUUUAAAAUUUUUAUUUUUUAUUUUUUAUAAAAUUUUAAACCCUAAUUCCAAAACCCCACCCUUUAACUCUAAACCCUAAGGUUUGGAUUAAUUAACCCAAGGGGUAUAAGUGUAUAUUUACCUCUUUAAUGAAACCUAUUUUUGUGACUUUGAGCCUUGAGUGCUACUUUGGGAACAAAAACUUGGUUUGGUGCUAUCCUUCCCCCGAACCUCGUCAAUGAUUCUCCCACCACAGGGACACCUUGUCGGAAUCUCGUAUUCUGAAUCAGCCACGUAUCCUUGCAUAUUGAUGAACUAUUGGUCGUAGGUUGAUUGUUGCCUGUAACUAGAAGUCCAAACUAAAAAGAGCAGUAGCUAAAAUUUUUGCUAAAAUAUUUCAACGUAACGUGUACAUGUGAGAAUGUGUACGGAAAAACACUAGGAGAGAAUCAUGACACGUGCAAAUAAACUAUCGGUCAAACCUGGCAACGGGGACAUUUUUAUAUAUACCCACAUACAAAAGAGAAACUAGAAAAGAGAGAAGAAAUUGAGAGAGAGAGAACGAUGAAGACACAAGUGACUAUAGUAGCGGCUCUUAUGAUUCUGGUGGCUUUGUCUUCCACCUUGGAUAUGGUGACGGUAACAGAGGCUCAAGUAAACUGCAUCGACAGUUGCACCACCGGCUGCGUCAAGCCCACCCGUGAGUAUUUUCUUCUUAGUCUCCCAUACCAUCCAUUUACGUAAAUCCCUUUUAAUAUUUUAUACUUCCAGCAAAAGAGACGAUCCGAUGCCACCACGAAUGCGACAAAAAGUGCAGCCGAGGUAAAGUUACUAAAGUAUAUUGUAUAACUCUCUACCGGACCGGUUCGUGAUACCUCUUUCAUCACUAACCGGUUGGUUAAGGUUGUAGGAUGCGUUCUAAUCUACCAUGUAACUUAUCAGUAUUUUCUAUCCAUGAAGCUAAUUAAUACCGUGUUUGUCUACUAUGAUCAUGACGAAACAUUGGAAUUCGUUACAUACAGAUACUUAUUUUAUUUGAGGCCCUGUUCGUUUGGCAGUUGCUAGCGUCAGCGACCAGCGUCCGCGUCUAAAAAUUAGUUGGACUCGGACCUGACAUUGAUGUACUUUUGUAAUUACAGGUGGUAAAGGAGGAAGUGAGACUGGCGCUUAAACUUUGUUUUCACUAAGAUCCACAAAGAUACAAUUGUGUUGUAAUCUUAUCUUUAUAAUCCUCUCUUUCUAAAACGUACUAUGCAUAUUGUAAGUUGUAACCAAUAAAUCAAGUGGUUGUAGUUCAUCGUUGUGUUAAAAUGGUAAAGGAUUUGUCCCAUGGAUCAAAUCCUCCCACCAACUGUGGACCUCCUUGUUGGCUUUCUAUAUAGUCUAUGUAAACGCUUUAAAGGAAAAUUAUUCAGUUUUCUACAUGCUCGGUUAUUAAAACAUAAAAAAUAACAGCUACAAUGUUUAAUUGAGAGCUAGUUCCUACUUGUAUUAACUUAAUUGUAGCCAGUUUGCAAUACAACUUAACAUCCAUG